rnacentral:rRNA from 1 species
CCUACGGGAGGCAGCAGUGAGGAAUAUUGGUCAAUGGGCGCUAGCCUGAACCAGCCAAGUCGCGUGAAGGAUGACUGCCCUAUGGGUUGUAAACUUCUUUUAUAUGGGAAUAAAGUGCAGUAUGUAUACUGCUUUGCAUGUACCUUAUGAAUAAGGAUCGGCUAACUCCGUGCCAGCAGCCGCGGUAAUACGGAGGAUCCGAGCGUUAUCCGGAUUUAUUGGGUUUAAAGGGAGCGUAGGCGGGUUGUUAAGUCAGUUGUGAAAGUUUGCGGCUCAACCGUAAAAUUGCAGUUGAUACUGGCAGCCUUGAGUACAGUAGAGGUAGGCGGAAUGCGUGGUGUAGCGGUGAAAUGCUUAGAUAUCGCGAAGAACUCCGAUUGCGAAGGCAGCCUGCUGGACUGUAACUGACGCUGAUGCUCGAAAGUGUGGGUAUCAAACAGGAUUAGAUACCCCUGUAGUC